CCUACGGGAGGCAGCAGUGGGGAAUAUUGGGCAAUGGAGGAAACUCUGACCCAGCAAUGCCGCGUGAAUGAAGAAGGUCUUCGGAUUGUAAAGUUCUUUAGUCAGGGAAGAAUAAAAUGACGGUACCUGAAGAAUAAGCUCCGGCUAACUACGUGCCAGCAGCCGCGGUAAUACGUAGGUGGCAAGCGUUAUCCGGAUUUAUUGGGUGUAAAGGGCGUGUAGGCGGGAAAGCAAGUCAGAUGUGAAAACUCAGGGCUCAACCCUGAGCCUGCAUUUGAAACUGUUUUUCUUGAGUGCUGGAGAGGCAAUCGGAAUGCCGUGUGUAGCGGUGAAAUGCGUAGAUAUACGGAGGAACACCAGUGGCGAAGGCGGAUUGCUGGACAGUAACUGACGCUGAGGCGCGAAAGCGUGGGGAGCAAACAGGAUUAGAUACCCUUGUAGUC
rnacentral:rRNA from 1 species